AGUGAACGCUGGCGGUAGGCCUAACACAUGCAAGUCGAACGGCAGCACAGUAAGAGCUUGCUCUUACGGGUGGCGAGUGGCGGACGGGUGAGGAAUACAUCGGAAUCUACUUUUUCGUGGGGGAUAACGUAGGGAAACUUACGCUAAUACCGCAUACGACCUACGGGUGAAAGCAGGGGAUCUUCGGACCUUGCGCGAUUGAAUGAGCCGAUGUCGGAUUAGCUAGUUGGCGGGGUAAAGGCCCACCAAGGCGACGAUCCGUAGCUGGUCUGAGAGGAUGAUCAGCCACACUGGAACUGAGACACGGUCCAGACUCCUACGGGAGGCAGCAGUGGGGAAUAUUGGACAAUAGACGCAAGCCUGAUCAUGCCAUGCCGCAUGGGUGAAGAAGGCCAUCGGGUUAUAAAGCCCAUUUGUUGGAAAAGAAAAGCAGCAGGUUAAUUCCGCGCUUUUCUGACGGUGCCCAAAGAAUGAGCGCCGGCUAACAUCGUG
rnacentral:rRNA from 1 species